AUUGAACGCUGGCGGCAGGCCUAACACAUGCAAGUCGAGCGGAGCGGCGGACGGGUGCGUUAUGCCUAGUAAUCUGCCUGGUACUGGGGGAUAACGACCGGAAAUGGGCGCUAAUACCGCAUACUAUCAGAUUCGACUAGGUCGGAUUAGCUAGUUCGUGUGGUAAAGGCCUACCAAGGCGACGAUCCGUAACUGGUCUGAGAGGAUGAUAAGUCACACUGGAACUGAGACACGGUCCAGACGCCUACGGGAGGCAGCAGUGGGGAAGAUUGGACAAUGGGCGAAAGCCUGAUGCAGCCAUGCCGCGUGUGUGAAGAAGGUCUUCGGAGUGUAAAGCACUUUAAGUUGGGAGGCGUUACCAACAGAAUAAGCACCGGCUAACUUCGUGCCAGCAGCCGCGGUAAUUC
rnacentral:rRNA from 1 species